rnacentral:lncRNA from 1 species
GAAUUAUCCCCACAAAGAUUUCGUGAACCCAGGCAUAAAUAGGGUCGAAAUACUUUGUUCGGAAAGUGAACGAACACGAUUCUUCGAAGAUUAUCCAGGAUUAUCAAUUAAUUAUCUAACAAAACACCUUCACCAAAUCUUCAACCACUACUCCAAUCUCCAACAGAACCGAACCUGCAAGAAAUCAUUCUCUCAAUACAUAACAAAAAAACCUUCCAUUAUUCCUCUACCGAUCUUCAUAACCUCAUCUUCAUAACUUGCAACGACCGCACAAGCAGAACAAUGGAGAAUUCACGGCAGAAAAGGAGAAGAAGCUUCGUCAUCUCAAUUGGCAAGGUACGAAUCCGAAAGCAACGUUCAUCUUCAUUAACCACGACACAACGAUUUGAAAAACCACAAGCAAAUCACGUAUUGAACCACAUCUUCACCUUCAAUCGAAAACGGAAUCGAAGAGGAAUUGCUAACAGCGCAAGAACUCACCACGAUUCAACCUCGUGACGGAUCAUCAGUGAGGAACGGUCUUCAUCACAAGCGUGAUUCCCACAUAUUCAUCCCUCAUCACAUCACGAACAUAGUGACAUAUCCGUCUUCUUCGUUCUUAAACGUCCCGUAUCAGUAAGGAUUCAACUGUCUUCAACCUCGAACCCUCAACCUCUCACUCCAUUUCAUCACACUCCAUCUUCACUCUUCAUUUCCAACCGCGCAACACACGCAAGACCCGUGGUUACGUAUUCAGGUUAGCUCUACAACCAUCUCUUUUUCGCACACAUUCUCGAUUAUGAAUACCACUUCGAUAUUGGUUUAGAUUCGAGGCCAAGUUUGAGAGCGAUGCCGAUUCUGUGUUCGUUUCCUUCUGCUCGACGGUGAACACACUUGAAGUAGGACACGACGCACGUUUGGAUGAAGAAUGUGAUGAAGUUGAAGAACAUGGUGAUGGUAACGAACAACUGCGACACCAAUUCGGUUCUUUCGCGUAGACGUAGUAGGUCUGUUUUCACCGUUGGGGCUUCGCGGAGGCUGCUGCAACUGGAUUCAGCCUAUGGAUGAAGAUCACAGAUCCGGGUUUGGGCUUCAGUCAGUUCCCUUUCUUUUUUUGCUGUUUGUUCACUGUUGCAUUGCUAGAACCAAUGAGCCUAGAUUGGGCCCCUGCAUCCGUAGUAACUAUCCACACACCUUUUCCUCCACUAUGCACUCCCCAAAUCCGGACAUUUGCCAUAGCAAAUGGGCUCUUCUUUGAGGCCCAUGUAGAGAUCCGCUUCCUGCACCCUCCGAAUCCAGUACACCCCCACUGAAUGGGCCUUGCAUCAAUCCAUCUCAGGGCCCAAUUGUUUUUUUUUUCUUUUUGUUUACUAAUUAACUUGUAUUUACUUUACUAGAAUAUUUAGAUUAGGAACAUUAGAAUUAAU